GAUAAACGCUGGCGGCGUGCAUGAGACAUGCAAGUCGAACGGGUGACUCAGGGCUUGCUCUGAGUCGCUAGUGGCGGACGGCUGAGUAACGCGUAGGUGACCUACCCCGAAGUGGGGAAUAACUGCCCGAAAGGGUGGCUAAUACCGCAUGUGAUCGGUCAUUCAAUUGAUCGAUCAAAGCAGCAAUGCGCUUUGGGAGGGGCCUGCGUCCGAUUAGCUCGUUGGUGGGGUAAUGGCUCACCAAGGCGACGAUCGGUAGGUGGUCUGAGAGGAAGUUCACCCAGACUGGGACUGAGACACGGCCCAGACUCCUACGGGAGGCAGCAGUCGGGAAUUUUGCUCAAUGGGGGAAACCCUGAAGCAGCAACGCCGCGUGAGGGAUGAAGGCCUUCGGGUUGUAAACCUCUUUUCUCAGGGACGAUUAUGACGGUACCUGAGGAAUAAGCCACGGCUAACUACGUGCCAGCAGCCGCCGUAACAC
rnacentral:rRNA from 1 species